rnacentral:rRNA from 1 species
AUUGAACGCUGGCGGCAUGCCUUACACAUGCAAGUCGAACGGCAGCACGGGAGCAAUCCUGGUGGCGAGUGGCGAACGGGUGAGUAAUGCAUCGGAACGUACCCGGAAGUGGGGGAUAACGUAGCGAAAGUUACGCUAAUACCGCAUAUUCUGUGAGCAGGAAAGAGGGGGGAUCGCAAGACCUCUCGCUUUCGGAGCGGCCGAUGUCGGAUUAGCUAGUUGGUGGGGUAAAGGCCUACCAAGGCGACGAUCCGUAGCGGGUCUGAGAGGAUGAUCCGCCACACUGGGACUGAGACACGGCCCAGACUCCUACGGGAGGGCAGCAGUGGGGGAAUUUUGGACAAUGGGCGGCAAGCCUGAUCCAGCCAUGCCGCGUGAGUGAAGAAAGGCCUCGGUUCGGUUAAGUACGUAC